GUAGUUGGCUUCGUGAUUUUGGCCUGCUGGCUUGGGUAAAAAGUGCCGUAAACAAGCUUGUCAUAAGUUUGACAUUGUCUUUUUACAGUGAAGGACUACUGUUAUCAAAAUACAUGGUUAAAAUUCACCUCAAACGAAAGUAAAUAGCUUUAAAACAGUUCAUCACAACGCGCUAUCUGUUGGUAGAGCUCUGAGCAGGUUCGCCUGAUGCCAGGUGUUGUUAAAAAAAGGUUAGCUUGAUGCUAUUAUCUUCAGCAAUGGAUUUAAAUCUACCACAUACAGUCAAACAGGAAAAUCACCUUCCUUUGGAUCAGCAAUUAAGAGGAGGAUGUGGACUUGUAUACCUUCAGGGAUUCAAGGAAACUGCAGCAAUGAGACGAAUCAGGAUAAUUGGAGAGUGGAGAGGAAGAAAUACCUUGGCUAAGGAAUUGAUGCAGUUUGGCAGCGGCCAGCGCUGAAAAUAGACCUGCAACAUAUCCUCAGCUAAGCACACGACAGUGGCGAUUCACAGACGCGCCGGUGCCGGACUGGUGGAACUGCUCUGAUUGACCUGAGAGGGAGCGAUUUGCUCUGCAGUACGAUUUGCUGGCAGAUGGCGCUGUUGCUGUAUGUAUGAAAUUGCAGGAAAGUGUUUGUUACAGGGGUGCUAGAAGUGAUUUAUUGCUGCAGUGUUGUUCACACACUCCAGUGGAAUUAUUUAGGACAGAGGAUAAAAUGACGUUUUGUCUUUUUUUCCUCUAGCCUUAUUACCACUGGGCUGUGUCCAGUAUUUUUGUAUUAAUAUCUUUGAGCUCCAUGGCAGAAACUUGUGUUGCUCUGUCAUUUUGGGCAAAUUUAUAAAAACGUAAGAGAUAGCUCAACACGUGUGUGCCAAGAUGGUAGGAUCUGUCUUACUGUGAGUUAACUUAAAAGCUUUUAUAAUUAUUUUUUACUGCCGAUUUGCUCCCAGAAAUAGAAAUUAAAGCAUUUUAAUUGGUAGAUUACUGUGGAUCGCAUUCCAUUUUGACUUCAAAAUAGAUCAGUGCAUGGGCAGUGAUGCUGCUUCUGGGAAUGGACAGAUAUUUUACUGCUCAAUCCUAAAGCAAACAAUUGUUUAAACUUCAUUUGUAUUACACAAAUUCUUUUAUGUAGAGACUGACAAAAAGGUUGGAUUUUUAUGACCAUGGAACAACACCUGUAUAUUUCAGUGUCCCUUUUACCGAUCAGUUUUCUCCUACCACUUUCAGUUUUUGCAUUUUAAAUUUGCUAUAAACACUUUUGUCCAUGACAAAUCUUAUAAAAUUGUUUUUAAAAGAGAUAGUGCCAAGCCCUUUUAGAAUCUUUGGUG